rnacentral:rRNA from 1 species
UACAGAGGGGGCAAGCGUUGUUCGGAAUUACUGGGCGUAAAGGGCGCGUAGGCGGCCUUCUAAGUCGAACGUGAAAUCCCCGGGCUCAACCCGGGAACUGCGUCCGAUACUGGAAGGCUUGAAUCCGGGAGAGGGAUGUGGAAUUCCAGGUGUAGCGGUGAAAUGCGUAGAUAUCUGGAGGAACACCGGUGGCGAAGGCGACAUCCUGGACCGGCAUUGACGCUGAGGAGCGAAAGCCAGGGGAGCAAAGCGGG